CCGUUUGACCCAUUCACCUGUGGAGCAGCUGACUUCCCUCCAGAUAUCCAGUCAAAGCUGGAUGAGAUGCAGGAGGGGUUCAAAAUGGGACUAACCUUAGAGGGCACCGUCUUCUCUCUGGACCCGCUAGACAACCGCUGCUGAUGCCAAGAAGAUGCUCUUUGUCACGUACUUUUAACUUGUUUGUAUGAAGAAGUGCCAAAUUUCACUCCACAGUCGAGUCAGGAUGUCACCGUUUUCAUCUUGAGGUUUAUAUACAUUUACAUUUAGAUUGGUUUUUCAAUACUUCAAGGUAAACUCAAAUCCAUUAUAGAAAAAGAACUAUUUUUGUAUUUUUAAAAAGAACUUGAUAGAAGGAGUAGUUUUGAGUACCUAUGCUUGCACAGGCAGUGAGAGAUGUAAAUACUCUAAUAUGUUCCAUGGUACAAUGUGGCAGGAUUUUCCUAGGGGAGUUUGUGUGUAUGCAUCCAUUGAAUUCUGUAUUGUUGACACAUUCCUGUUUGGAUGCUAAACACAAGCUGGCCAGAACAUGGAAUCUGUAUCAUUUACACAAGCUUGCCCAUAACACCACAUAGCUUUACUCAACAGGAAGUCACACGUUAUGUAGCCAAUUAAUCCAGAUGGAUAUUGUUCAGCUUUACUGAACUUUCCACUUAUUGCUUUAGAUUUUUUUUGUUCUUUGCAUUUCACAAGUCUGAGUUGCCAUUUCAGUAUUUACUUGUCAUACUUUUAUAUUAUCAUCAUUUUAGCCUCCUCUUUUCUUGCAGCUCAAGACACUUUUUGGACAGCCUCUGUCCAUGCACCGUACUAUUGGCGUUGUUUUACCUUUUUUGCAUUGACUUUGCUGUUACAGUUAUUAAAGAAAAUUCUACUGGAAAAUGUAA